GAACAGGAAGACUUCAUUUUUGAGAGUGGAAGCCAUUUUGUCUCAUCCAGUUUAAGACAUUUACUACAACAGAUCUUGCAGGUGCUCAACAGGAAAUCCUGUCUUAUUUUCAGUCCCGCUGACAGCUAUGGAACUCAUUCUGUGGUGGAUUUUUUGCUUCAGUUUUGGUUUUGUUGCUGAUUGCCAAGAGAAUCGUUAUGGAUUGAAAGGAAGCUCAAUCCGUCUGAGUAUCAGUCCCAGAAAUCACUCACAUCAGCAAGAUAAUGUUAAAUGGCGACGAUUCGAUACGAGAGACUUUCUUUAUUGAAAGGUUAUGUAUGACCAUAAUAAUAUGACUCAGUCAUAAAUUAAUUUUUUUUUAAUGCAGGUUUUGUCAUUGAUUGCCAAGAGAAUCGUUAUGGAUUGAAAGGAAGCUCAAUCCAACUGAGUAUCAGUCCCAGAAAUCAGUCACAUCAGCAAGAUGAAUUAAAUGAAUUAAAAAACGUUAAAUGGCGACGAUUCAAUAGGAGAGACUAUCUCGGAGACAAAGAUGGAGUUCCCCUAGAUUUAAGAAAAGAAUGAGCUUAACCAACUCCGACUGGUCUUUGACCAUACAAGACCUGCAGGAAGAUGACGGUGGACUAUAUGAGGCCCUUUCAAAACAUGAGGAUGUAAUUUUGGCUGCAUUCACACUUAUAGUGGAGAGUAAGCUCUAGCCACCUAUCUCAUUUAACACUGUAUGCUUAUAACAUGAUAUAUAUAAUUCAGUAUCUCAGCUCAGAUGUUGAUAACUUAUCUGUGCUCCUUUUUCAGACACUGUCUCUAAGCCUAUAAUCAAAGUGAAUCAAUAUGAUUUUAAUUCAUCUGGGCCACAUAUGACUGUGACCAAAAUUUCUGUGCGGCAGCACAAGCCUCUCAAUCCUCCCAAUCCUGCAUUAACAUCACUGUCACUGCACUGGACAGCAUCCACUGCCACGUCAACAACCACGUUAGCAAGAAUCAUUCUGAGACUCCCAACAUUAUGUGUUUUUUGUAUUAAAAACAAACAAGCAAGCCCAGCCUAGAUGAUAAAAAGUAACUCAAAAGUAACGUAAUGCAUUACUUUGCAUAAGUAAGUCAUGCAAUUAGUUACUUUUUAAGGGAGUAAAGCAAUAUUGUAAUGCAUUACUUUUAGAAGUAACUUUCCCCAGCGCUGUUUUUGAGAGAUCAGAUAUAAGCAUUUCACCAUGCAGGCAAUAUAUACCACAUAACCUGGUAACCACCAACGGCACAUCAUCAUUAUUUUUGUUAUUGUUAUUAUCAUUCAGAUGGUUUAAGUUGUUGAAAAAGAAUGACUUUAAGAGCCUGUCUUAAACUGUUUCUUUCAAAUGUUUCUUUACAGCCACACUUUCAGAACUGGACUUUCAUCACAUUAACUGCUAAUGAUCUCAAAUGUCUGUUUUGAAUAAAUGAGAAGUUUUGAAAUGUGUUCAAUGAACAGUGUUAAAUCACAGUUUUGUAACACCAGGUGUGAUUUUGAGGUGAGAGUUAGAAACAGCUGUCGUUUAUUCUCUAGAAUUCCCAGCAUCAUGAAAAUGUCAGAUUAAAGUGCAACGCAGCAGCUGCAUCUGCAGUGAAUUCAGCCUUCAUCUGUAGUCACUCUACAACCGCAAGACCCUCCAGCGGACAGUGAACACAGCUGCAAGGAUCAUCGGUGCCCCUCUCCCCUCCAUCAUGGAUAUUUUCCUCACACGAUGCUCCAGCAAAGCAAACAGUAUCGUGAAGGACUCCACACAUCCCUCCCAGAGUCUCUUCCAGCUUCUACCAUCAGGAAGACGGUACCGGAGCAUCAGAGCCCGCUCUGCCAGACUGCUCAACAGCUUUUUCCCCCAGGCUGUGAGAGCCCUGAACUCAAAUCACCCCGCCCCUCUCUGAACCCCCAUACAAACCCCCUACCUCCUGAAACAUGGACCAUCUGAAACUUAUGGAACUUUUUUUGUGUGCAAUCGAAGUGUGCUACACACAGGUGAGUGGGCUUGUACAAACCACCUGUAGUAGCAUACUCUCCUCCUCUAUGCGCACUAGUCACUUUUCACACACACUGCUGUGUGUAUACAAAUCCCACAAAAAGACUCAGUAAUAUAUGUAUGUUUACAUGCUCAUGCACUACAAAUCAUCCUGCACUGUCCCCCAGCCAGCUGCUGACUCACUAUGUUUCUCUUUGCACAUGUACAGUAUUUAUCUGAAGCACUCGUAUAGUUUGUAUAGUUUGUAUUUUUUAGUUUAUGUAUAGGUAAAAAAAUGUUUUUAUAUAUAGUAUAUUUAUAGUCAAAAUCUAUCAGUAGCAGUGGCGGUUUUAGGCAUGGGCGAACCGGGCAGCUGAACGGGGCGGCAUUUUUUCAUGACACGUGGGGGGCGGCACAAGCACUUGGAAAAAAAUAAAAUAAAAUCAUCUGCGCCGCUAAGCGGUUUUCUGUUAUCUAUCAUAUUAUCUAUCAUAUAACUGUGUGGAGAAUUGGCAAACUGGCGCCCCUGCUUGUUGAGAAGGUACCGAGCACAGAAGCUGUGUGAGAAGUGGAAAAGGGAGGGGGGCGCGGCCGCGGGGGACAGUUCACCUCUCCCAAAUGGAGCGGACAAGGAGGGCUAAAGUCAGUCACACCCAGGGGCGCGGGAAGUGGGGGUGCGGAGGGUGCUGCAGCACCCCCUGUUUUUUCUGUGGGCAACUGUUUAAUUGUUGGGAAUAUAAAAAAAUCAAAAAAAAUCGGAGUGUCUAUUUAAGUGCAAAUAGCUAUGUUGCUGGCAGAGGCUAUUUACAUUAACUCCACCCACAAACGUAUGAUUGAGAUAGUCAAAUAUGCAAAAAACACUUACUAGUUUUCAGGUUCAGUGGCGCAGGUGGUAAAGUUUGCGUUACACUUGUUUUGACACGAUCGACCGGGAUUCGAAUCUGCCUUUUGGCGAACUUUUUUUCUCCCUUUUUAAAUUUCAAAUCACAUCACAUCAGAAAAGCAUUUAUUUUUUAAUAAAAAUGAAGGAAAAAUGAAAAAAAAUUGCCCGCCACUGAUCAGUAGGAUAGUUGUGUAUAGGUUUAUAUUGUUUUAUUUCAUUGCUGUAUGCCUGUAUUUAUGUACAACCCAUUCUCACUCCCAAGGCGUCAAAAACUGAAGCAUGGUCAAACGCCUUUCGCGUCACUAUGAAGACGCCAAAAGUGCCCCUAGGCGUCAGUAUAUGACGAAAUAGGAUCUCCAUUGCUUUCAAUUGCUUGCUUUAUGCGUCAGGUCGAGACGCUUAUGGAAAAUGACAACACGUUAUCCUCCGUUGUUUUCGGUUUGCAUGCAUUUGUUAAAAAUAGAAAUCAUUUUAUAUACAUUUAUACUUUUAUUGGAGCACCUAACCCAGACCCUACCCUAAACCUACCCACUUCUGAACAACAUAAAACACGCAACAGGCAAAUAUAAGUGCAGUCACAGGUAUUUAUUGCAAAAACUGACCAUAAACAAGCAGUAUAAAAGCAUUGCAAACAAGUCGUGUUGCAUUCCAAGUCUUCUGAAGCCAUACGAAGUCUUUAUGAGAAGAAGAAAGCAAAACAUAAGGUUUUAAUCGCUGAAAAUGAUCCCGCUCCGUUAAUGCGCUCACAUCUCAUUCAAAAAGAUACUCCCGUCCCGUAGCAUGACGCAAUCUGUCACGAGACACACAAGAGCCAAUAGCCUGUCAGAACAGCAUAACGCAAUCUGUCACGAGACACAUAAGAGCCAAUAGCAUUUCACAACCAAGGCUGACGUAAGGCUUCUUCUGGCGGCAUUUUUUGAAUUCGCGCACAGACUGCAGCACACAGGAUUAACGGCGGACGGAGACGACGAUCGCGUUUAUUCCGCUCACAAAUCAAAUGUUUUAACUCGGAAGAUAUUUUUUGAAUAAAUUAUGAUCGUAGUUGUAUCUGCCUGUUAUAUCUUGUGUUUUAUUGACAAAUGGUAGGUUUAGGGGCAGGGGUUGGGUUAUGUGCUCAUAAAUGUGUAAAUAAUGUAAUAUAAAUAAAACUGUUGUGGCUGUUUACAUUGAAAAAUCACACCCCAACAUAUAUGCAAUAAUGGCACUGUUAUUACCCAAUAUAUAAUUUAAUUAUGACGAUAAAAUUCCCAGUAUGGCGUCGGCAUAUUGACGCUAAGGGUUUCCUAUUUAAAGCAACGGAGGACCCUGCAAGUCGAAAAAUGACGCCAAGUGGUCCUGACCAAGCUUCAAUAUGUGACGAGUUGGGUGUGAGAAUGGGUUGUUAUGUAGCACCUUGGUCCUGUGAGGCACGACAUUUCG